rnacentral:rRNA from 1 species
GACGGAGGAUGCAAGUGUUAUCCGGAAUCACUGGGCGUAAAGCGUCUGUAGGUGGUUCAAUAAGUCAACUGUUAAAUCUUGAGGCUCAACUUCAAAAUCGCAGUCGAAACUAUUGGACUCGAGUAUAGUAGGGGUAAAGGGAAUUUCCAGUGGAGCGGUGAAAUGCGUAGAGAUUAGGAAAGAACACCAAUGGCGAAAGCACUUUACUGGGCUAUUACUGACACUGAGAGACGAAAGCUAGGGUAGCAAAUGGG